GUUAAGCUCCCUGGGCCCUAAGUGAGACGGUCCUGCUAGUCAUUCCUCAAAUAUUUAUUGCAUGCCUAUGAUGUGUCAAAUUCUGUGUACUUUACUGGGAAAAGGCUCAAUCCUUUAGUAAAUAAGGGGUUUGUUUAUGGAUUGUGGUGUUUAACAUGACAUGAGGCAAUGGACUUGGCAGAUAGUAGGCGCUCAAUUUGUUCAGUUCUUUCCCCUACGUAUUUAUUAUACCUCUACCUGCCAUUCUAUUCUUAAGGCCUACCCCUUAUUGUAGUGUCUUCCUCUGAGUUGGGUGCAUCUUGGUCGCUGCUCAUACUCAGGACCAGAACCUUAUUUUGCUCUACAAGGCAGAUCCAUCCUUUGGCUUGCCAAUAUGGCAUGUGUGCCUUCUGUUACUGCUACCAUUGCUUCUUCUCUCCACCUCUGAGUGCCAUCAUAAGUAUGGGAUAAUAAGACCAUUAGAGGAAUAAACACAAUUUGUGUACUUUUUCCCUUCUUUGUUGGCAUGGAUAAUAAAAUGAACUUGAACUCUCACCUAAGACUGACUAAACCACUAAAAACCAAAGUGAUAACAUGAGAAUGAACAAAUCCAGCCCAGAGAGGUGUAUUUCCAGUGUGGAACAGUUUGGAACCAAGUGUGAAUAUCCAGAGGCAGUGCUUCCAACAUAUGCACAUGAAGUGGAGGAUGGAGGAAGGGUUAUAGGAUGCAAGAAUUGUUGAGGAAUCUUCCUGAGGUCAAAAAAUGUUCCCAGGUGUUCUUUGUUUGAAGAAAAGACUCUUUUCUCACUAAUGGUUUUAUAUAUAAUGUCUCCAUUGUGGAUGUGGACCUACUUUUAAAACAGCAUAUUUUUAUAUCCAUUAUCCUUCAAGAUAAUUUUUACCUGCAGAUAUGACCAAGAAUUUAUAACAAGUAAGAGACCAGUUGACUCUCAAAUAACAUGCUCAUCUAGUCUCUGAAUAUCUUACUUCUAUUUGGAUUUCAUCAGCCAAGUAGCAGUGUCUUAAAACUGGCAAUGUAGCUGCAAUUCUGUUGAACAUGUAUUUCUAUAGAAAAUAUUAUGAAUUCAAAAAUGACAUGUAGAGGUGACUGUCAAUUUAUCUUUUCUUUGAAUGUAAUGUGUAUUUGUUGCUGUGUUUUAGAAAUACCUAAGGAGGCAGGCUAAUAUAACCAGCAAUAGCAUUUAUUGAAUUCUUUGUCAUAAGAACUGAAGGGUUACUAUUAUGUUCAUUUUAUAGAUAUAUCCAUUUAAAUACAAUAAACAUUUAGUAAGUUUGCUAAAUGCUGGCAGUGAUACCAGAUGAAUAAAAUGUGACUCUUACUGACUGGUGCACAUUGAUGGAG
rnacentral:lncRNA from 1 species